GCAUUAGUAAUGUAAAACUGGCCCAAAAGGGUUUAAAAUUGUCAGAAGUUGAUCUUGAUCAGUUCAAAUAUUUUUUGACAAAGAAAAUCAGUUCUGGUCAGUUCAAAUCUAUUUUGACCAGUUUAAACCAAUUCUGCAGAACUCGAGCCUGCGGUCGGUAAACGCAGGAAGAUGGCUGAAGACUAUGCUGAUUCAAGCCAAAGCAAGGAAUCACAGAGAAAGGUAAGAUUCAUUAAGACUUGGGUGAAAAGAGUUAAC
rnacentral:lncRNA from 1 species